AUAACCUUGUUGUCCUGAGUCGGUGACAAAAACCUCAGGGAUGGCACUACAAAGUGCAUGAACAGGCUCAUGAAGAAUGGAGUCAUGGCGAAAUACAACAUGCAUGGAGGGGGACAAAGUGACAAACUGCCUUUAAAGGCGACAAAGCUGUGUCAUGUGAUCAAGUCUGCUGUGAAGAGAUGGAGCGUGAAGGCCAUGGACGCAGAAAUAGAAAGUAUUAUCCAGACCCACCUGAAACAUGCCCCAGCAAGGAGCGGGGGCAAGGGGCAGACCCCCACUGGACUUUAAUGCAAUAAAACAUUUGUUACAUUAAACAUGUUCAUUUUUUAUUCAAGUAUUCAAUAUAUAGAUAACUCGUUACAUAUAUCUGGUCCUGAAUGCUGUCUUUUUUUACAUAAGAUUAGUCCAUGUACUACUUUUAUUUUACAGUAUGGGUGAACAUCACUCGGGUAUUUUUAACUUUAUCACAGGUGAGUUUAUUUACCAUCAAAGUUUCAACCAGGUUCAGCAUUCCCGUGAUAUUUUAAGUUGGCAAAAGUAAAAUGUGCUGUUGUCUAUUGGACUUUUUGACCUUGAUGCAGUUUGAGGAAUUGUUUGCUGAAAUUGAGAAGUUAAUUCAAAUAGCUGUACAUUAGAGCAUUGAGAAUUGCACAUGUAUACAGCACAAGAGCUGUGCUUGUCAUAGAAUUUAUGGAUGUGGUAAUGCCAGUUAUGUAGGCACUGGUUAAAACUCUCAGUUUAGGUAAACAUCUUUUUAAAUGCAAUACAUUACAUGUGUAUUUUGACAAAGGUUGAAAUGUCGUCUAUUCCACUUUGAAACAACGUAAAAUGAUGCCGUCUAAGAGCCGUCGAAAUGACGUCGGUCAUAAAAAUGACGUCAGAAAAACUUUCAUUUCAGCACCUCUUGUAGACGUCGAAUCAACCUGCCUGACCGACGUUGAUUAGAUGUGAAAUAGACGUCAAAAUGUUUGCUGGGCUCUAUCUCCUUUACACAUGCGAAUCGACUCUUUCACUUCCUUAAGCAAUCACUCUCUGCCUACACAGUAGACACACUGCAAAUGCCAAAUGUGUCAAAAUGGAAAUCAAAUCACAAAGUUCAAAACGUAUGUAGCCUAUACACAGCCGAUGUCUUAUAUGAAAAUGUUUUAUAUAUAGCACCUAAAGUUUCAAAGCUCACAUCUACAGCAAAUCAUUUAUGUUUAUUAUUGACAUAUAUCAUUAA
rnacentral:lncRNA from 1 species